GGGAAUGUGGCUCAUUGGUAGAGAAUUUGCCUCGUAUACAGUAGGCCCUGGGUUCAAUUCCUAGCACUGCCC
rnacentral:tRNA from 1 species